CUGCAUGGCUGUCGUCCAGCUCGUGUCGUGAGAUGUUCGGUUAAGUCCGCUAACGAGCGCAACCCUCGCUGUGUGUUACAAGUGUCACACGGAACUGCCGGUCAUAAACCGGAGGAAGGUGGGGAUGACGUCAAGUCAGCAUGGCCUUUAUAUCCUGGGCUACACACACGCUACAAUGGGAAGGGACAAUAGGUUGCGAAGCCGCGAGGCGGAGCCAAUCCAGCAAAACUUCCCUCAGUUCAGAUUGCAGGCUGCAACUCGCCUGCAUGAAGUUGGAGUUGCUAGUAAACGCAGGUCAGCCAUACUGCGUUGAAUACGUUCCCGGGGCUU
rnacentral:rRNA from 1 species